UACGAAGGGGGCUAGCGUUGUUCGGAAUCACUGGGGGUAAAGCGCACGUAGGCUGCGCGUUAAGCCAGGGGUGAAAUCCUGGAGCUCAACUCCAGAACUGCCUUUGAUACUGGCGUGCUCGAGUGUGGGAGAGGUUGGUGGAACUCCGAGUGUAGAGGUGAAAUUCGUAGAUAUUCGGAAGAACACCAGUGGCGAAGGCGGCCAACUGGCCCAUUUCUGACGCUGAGGUGCGAAAGCGUGGGGAGCAAACAGG
rnacentral:rRNA from 1 species